rnacentral:rRNA from 1 species
UACGUAGGGUGCAAGCGUUAAUCGGAAUUACUGGGCGUAAAGCGUGCGCAGGCGGUUUUGUAAGUCUGUCGUGAAAGCCCCGGGCUCAACCUGGGAAUUGCGGUGGAGACUGCAAGGCUUGAAUCUGGCAGAGGGGGGUAGAAUUCCACGUGUAGCAAUGAAAUGCGUAGAGAUGUGGAGGAACACCGAUGGCGAAGGCAGCCCCCUGGGUCAAGAUUGACGCUCAGGCACGAAAGCGUGGGGAGCAAACAGG